GAUGAACGCUGGCGGCGUGCCUAAUACAUGCAAGUCGAGCGAACAGAUGAGGAGCUUGCUCCUCUGACGUUAGCGGCGGACGGGUGAGUAACACGUGGAUAACCUACCUAUAAGACUGGGAUAACUUCGGGAAACCGGAGCUAAUACCGGAUAAUAUAUUGAACCGCAUGGUUCAAUAGUGAAAGACGGUUUUGCUGUCACUUAUAGAUGGAUCCGCGCCGCAUUAGCUAGUUGGUAAGGUAACGGCUUACCAAGGCAACGAUGCGUAGCCGACCUGAGAGGGUGAUCGGCCACACUGGAACUGAGACACGGUCCAGACUCCUACGGGAGGCAGCAGUAGGGAAUCUUCCGCAAUGGGCGAAAGCCUGACGGAGCAACGCCGCGUGAGUGAUGAAGGUCUUCGGAUCGUAAAACUCUGUUAUUGGGGAAGAACAAACGUGUAAGUAACUAUGCACGUCUUGACGGUACCUAAUCAGAAAGCCACGGCUAACUACGUG
rnacentral:rRNA from 1 species